rnacentral:rRNA from 1 species
CCUACGGGAGGCUGCAGUGGGGAAUAUUGGACAAUGGGGGGAACCCUGAUCCAGCCAUGCCGCGUGUGUGAAGAAGGCCCUCGGGUUGUAAAGCACUUUCAGUGAGGAAGAACGCCUGGUGGUUAAUACCCAUCAGGAAAGACAUCACUCACAGAAGAAGCACCGGCUAACUCCGUGCCAGCAGCCGCGGUAAUACGGAGGGUGCGAGCGUUAAUCGGAAUUACUGGGCGUAAAGCGCGCGUAGGUGGCUUGAUAAGCCGGUUGUGAAAGCCCCGGGCUCAACCUGGGAACGGCAUCCGGAACUGUCAAGCUAGAGUGCAGGAGAGGAAGGUAGAAUUCCCGGUGUAGCGGUGAAAUGCGUAGAGAUCGGGAGGAAUACCAGUGGCGAAGGCGGCCUUCUGGACUGACACUGACACUGAGGUGCGAAAGCGUGGGUAGCAAACAGGAUUUGAUACCCGUGUAGUC